CCUACGGGAGGCAGCAGUGGGGAAUAUUGCACAAUGGGGGAAACCCUGAUGCAGCGACGCCGCGUGAGUGCAGAAGUAUUUCGGUAUGUAAAGCUCUAUCAGCAGGGAAGAAAAUGACGGUACCUGAUUACUAAGCCCCUGCUAACUCCGUGCCAGCAGCCGCGGUAAUACGUAGGGGGCAAGCGUUAUCCGGAUUUACUGGGUGUAAAGGGAGCGUAGACGGCAGCACAAGUCUGGAGUGAAAUGCCGGGGCUUAACCCCGGAACUGCUUUGGACACUGUGCAGCCAGAGUGAAGGAGAGGUAAGUGGAAGUCGUAGGGUAGCGGUGAAAUGCGUAGAUAUUAGGAGGAAAACCAGUGGCGAAGGCGGCUUACGGGACUGUAACUGACGUGGAGGCUCGAAAGCGUGGGGAGCAAACAGGAUUAGAUACCCGGGUAGUC
rnacentral:rRNA from 1 species